CUUUUCACUUAGUAGUAGAGUAAUACCCCGGUAAGACGGAAGUCAUAGGUUCGAAUCCGAUAAAG
rnacentral:tRNA from 1 species